GUGCUCACGUCAGCAGCACAUAUACUAAAAUUGGAGCAAUACAGAGAAGAUUAGCAUGGCCCCUGGGCAAGGAUGACAUGAGAAUCCGUGAAGUGGUCCAUAUUUUU